rnacentral:tRNA from 1 species
GGAGAGAUUGCCAUUGGCAAGGCAAUCUGUUUGCUAAACAGUCGUGGAUUUUGUCCAUUGGGGGUUCGACUCCCUCUCUCUCCG